rnacentral:lncRNA from 1 species
CUUUUCAGUCAGGCAGUGGAGAAGGCGGCGGUCGCACGCACGUCCACCGCUCUCGUACCGUCCCCAAACUGCGUGAGAUCAUAACCUUUGUAAACACAGCAUCAAUCAAAAUAAAUUCGUAGAGCAAAGAUCAAGAGACCUAAGUGUUGGAGGUCUGUGUGUGAUGGACUUGAGCUCCGUGCGAUCAGCUCCCGACUUGUGAGUACGAGUGAGCCCGGGAGUGCGACUGGAGCAAAGAAGUGCAAGGCAGACAGAGAGGAAAAGAGUGUGCUCGUGAGAGGGCUGGCCGUGGGAGUCAGGAGCCGCGAGGGCGUGCGGGCGCGGAGGGCGGUUCCCUCAGGAUGCCCACCGCACUCAUCAUCUUCGACCACGUGUUCCUCCUGAUCCUGUUCCUGAUCGCGCUCUUCUUCGGCGUCGUGGCCAUGAGUCUCCGGGGGUGGCAGGGCCGGUCCGCGCACGCCGCCACUGGCAUGGUGUAAGCGCCCCUUCCACGCCCGCGGGUACACGAGUCCCCCCCCCCCCUUCUCCCUCCGGCAACGCCAUCGCUCGAGGGAGCUCACGCCUGUCUCCCCGCCACACUUUCCCUCACAGAGACACGAACAUUUCAGGAAACAAAAACAAUUUUGCAGUGAUUUGCAUACAUUGUGACUGUUUCACUCAGAUAAACAUUGUAGAUUGUUGGACUCGCGGGUGCCCGUUAGACACCUCCUACAUGAAUCCCUGUAGAACGAACAGCCCAACCCGAGCGUAAUCAUAGAAAGAACAAAUUACACACUGCUUACUUCCAGUGACGAGAGCGUUUCCGGGCCGUCGCACGUCGGACGCGUUACCCAAGAGGUUGACAGUACCCGGAAGAAAUCAGAUCCCGAGUCCCGAUCGGUCGUCUGCGCCUGGCCUCCGCCGCCGGGACCGCAGGAGCGCACGCGGAACGACGAGCGAGGGACCCUUCGCCGAGCACCCUGGAGCCCCAGACGUCCGCGGCCAUGAACGCCCUGCUGGUGCUGGACGCGUGCUUCCUAGCGCUGCUUCUGGUAGUGGCGGUGGCUUGCUUCGUGUACACUGUGGUGCCGCCCCUUCGCCAGGCGCCUCGCUUCACCCACCUCACCCAUGUCAUCACCCACGAGAUCCCACGCCCGCCCGACGCCGCAGCACCCGUCACCGAAGUCUAGGUCUUCCCGCUCGCCGGAACGCUCCAGCCACGAUGCUUGGGGAACCGAAGCAUAUUGUCUCUCACACCCACGGCCCACGUGCGGCACGCAGGGGCCCAACUCUCGACUGGCGACGCCCGAUGUGACCGUGACUGACCUGUGGCGCUGGUCUGGCUGUCUGUUUACGUGCGCGCGGACACAAACCUAUACACACAUUUAAAACCUCAACCUACAUGAACACACACACACACAUACACACACACUCUCACGCACGCGCGCGCGAGUGGUCAAUCAGUAUAAUACAUUUUAGAUCCAAAUUCAGUUUUUAAAUUAUUAAAGGUGAAAAUAGUUUACCCCAAAUCUGAAAAUCAACAAAUGUGUUUGGUAAUAUAGAUGUUAUGAACUGGGAUAAUUAUAAAAGAAUCAGUUGAUGACCAGAUUUGUUUGCAAUACUAGAAAUUCCGACAUUAAUAACACGCUCUUGCAUUCGCUUGGCAACACGCGGGACUUGCACACUCGCUCGAUUACAUCUGUAUUUAGAAAACAAUUUCCAAUAUAUCUAAGACUUCACUUUCAGAUUCACAUCACAAUAACAUCGACGCGUACACUGCAACAGUAAUAAAACCCACAGCCAUGGCCAGCCCCAGACGUCAGUGACAGGUCAAGGGGUCAAAGAUUACAAGUCACAGAUCAACUUAUCCUGAGUCACGUGACCUUCCAUAUCCUCUGUCACGUAGGGAAAGGAUGGUCAUUAUACUAAAACAAACAAAAAAAUACAGAGAAAUAUUUAAUCCUAUUGAUUUGGAAGCGUAGAAUCCAUAUAUCCAACCACGAAUCUAUUUUUCCAAGGCAGGUAAAGUUUAUAUGAAGCAUUAUCCAAAGGGUGAGUUUGUUACCCGCCCUGUGCUAAGCUGCUUUUGUUUCGAUUAGAGUCAGGCUGUCAAACCUUUUUAAUUUUUAUUCUCUACCAUUGGCUCCUUCGUCUUAAGAAAAUUAUUGGGUGGGGGAUAAUUAUAAAUUAUACGCAAAUUAUGCAGUAUUAAAAUUAUGAUGUGCAUUAUAUUUAUAAUAAAUAAAUAGUAUAAUUCCC